rnacentral:rRNA from 1 species
GACGAACGCUGGCGGCGUGCUUAACACAUGCAAGUCGAACGAAAAUACCAAGCUUGCUUGGUUGAUUAGUGGCGAACGGGUGAGUAACACGUGAGUAACCUGCCCCUUACUUUCCUGGAUAACUGCUCGAAAGGGUAGCUAAUACGGGAUAUUCUGACCAGCCUGCAUGGGUUGGUUUGGAAAGGUUGUUUUUCUGGUAAGGGAUGGGCUCGCGGCCUAUCAGCUUGUUGGUGGGGUGAUGGCCUACCAAGGCUUUGACGGGUAGCCGGCCUGAGAGGGUGGACGGUCACACUGGGACUGAGAUACGGCCCAGACUCCUACGGGAGGCAGCAGUGGGGAAUAUUGCACAAGGGGCGCAAGCCUGAUGCAGCGACGCCGCGUGAGGGAUGAAGGCCUUCGGGGUGUAAACCUCUUUCGUCAGGGAACAAGGCACUGCUUUUUUGGUGGUGUUGAGGGUACCUGGAUAAGAAGCGCCGGCUAACUACGUG